GACGAACGCUGGCGGUGUGCUUAACACAUGCAAGUCGAACGGUAAGGCCCUUUCGGGGGUACACGAGUGGCGAACGGGUGAGUAACACGUGAGUAACCUGCCCUCAUCUCUGGGAUAACAGUCGGAAACGGUUGCUAAUACUGGAUAUGAGCUUGCAAGGCAUCUUGUGGGUUGGAAAGAUUUUUUUGGUUGGGGAUGGACUCGCGGCCUAUCAGCUUGUUGGUGAGGUAGUGGCUCACCAAGGCUUCGACGGGUAGCCGGCCUGAGAGGGCGACCGGCCACAUUGGGACUGAGAUACGGCCCAAACUCCUACGGGAGGCAGCAGUGGGGAAGAUUGCACAAUGGACGGAAGUCUGAUGCAGCAACGCCGCGUGCGGGAUGACGGCCUUCGGGUUGUAAACCGCGUUCAAUUGUGACGAAGCUUUUUGUGACGGUAGCAGUAGAAGAAGCACCGGCUAACUACGUG
rnacentral:rRNA from 1 species